rnacentral:rRNA from 1 species
AUUGAACGCUGGCGGCAGGCCUAACACAUGCAAGUCGAGCGGAUGAGUGGAGCUUGCUCCAUGAUUCAGCGGCGGACGGGUGAGUAAUGCCUAGGAAUCUGCCUGGUAGUGGGGGACAACGUUUCGAAAGGAACGCUAAUACCGCAUACGUCCUACGGGAGAAAGCAGGGGACCUUCGGGCCUCGCGCUAUCAGAUGAGCCUAGGUCGGAUUAGCUAGUAGGUGAGGUAAUGGCUCACCUAGGCGACGGUCCGUAACUGGUCUGAGAGGAUGAUCAGUCACACUGGAACUGAGACACGGUCCAGACUCCUACGGGAGGCAGCAGUGGGGAAUAUUGGACAAUGGGCGAAAGCCUGAUCCAGCCAUGCCGCGUGUGUGAAGAAGGUCUUCGGAUUGUAAAGCACUUUAAGUUGGGAGGAAGGGCAGUAAGUUAAUACCUUGCUGUUUUGACGUUACCAACAGAAUAAGCACCGGCUAACUUCGUGCCAGCCGCCGCAGUAACAC